UGAUAAUUAAUGGCUUAAUUAAUUUAUUCUAUUUGAGAUAUGUUUUGAUGAUCCUUGUUUUCCAACGCAACAAAGAAAUAAGUCUCACCUUAACAAUUAUUAUCAAUCAAUCUUAGCCAUUAAUUGGAAUUAAAAUCAAAGGCUAAGAUUUGGAGUAAGUUAUAAAACUUACUCUUGGAGUCAAUAUAUCCCUUCUCAUUUUUUUAAAGUUAAAUUAGCUCAUUCAAAUUGGCACAAGAGAUAAUCGAACCUGAGACCUCAAGGAGGAGCACACUCUCAGGUCCCAAUGACACCAGAGAGAAUUGAACCUGAGACCUCAAAGAGAGCACACUCUCAGGUCUCGAGUCAAUACCACCAGACCAACCUCAAGAAAAUAAAAUAUUUUAUCAAACAAAGGAAAUGAAAUAUGUCAAGUAAACCUAAGCAAGAAGUGUCUAUGUCAAGUAAAAACGUAGUAAUAUUUUCGUCCCAUAAGUCUUAGCUAAACUGAUAAAAAUAUCGAAAUUGUUAUGCCGGAUAUGGUGACCUGAGUUCAAAUCAAGAAUUUCACAAUUAUAUGUGAGUUUAAUUUCAGUGGAUUACUACUUAAUGUUGUUUCCGAGGUUCAAAAUCGUUAAAUAUAAUUUUCAACCACCGAAGAGAUUACUGGAUUGAG
rnacentral:lncRNA from 1 species